rnacentral:rRNA from 1 species
GUAGGGGGCAAGCGUUGUCCGGAUUUAUUGGGSGUAAAGAGCGUGUAGGCGGCCAUGCAGGUCCGUUGUGAAAACUCGAGGCUCAACCUCGAGACGCCGAUGGAAACCGCAUGGCUAGAGUCCGGAAGAGGAGAGUGGAAUUCCUGGUGUAGCGGUGAAAUGCGCAGAUAUCAGGAAGAACACCCGUGGCUAAGGCGGCUCUCUAGUACGGUACUGACGCUGAGACGCGAAAGCGUGGGGAGCGAACAGGAUUAGAUACCCUGGUAGUCCACGCCGUAAACGAUGGGUGCUAGGUGUGGGGGGUGUCGACUCCCUCCGUGCCGAAGCUAACGCAUUAAGCACCCCGCCUGGGGAGUACGGCCGCAA